rnacentral:lncRNA from 1 species
AAUUAUCCUUGUCGCUUCCUACGCUGAACCAGGGCUAUGAUAGCCAGAAACUUGUGCGUGCUCCUCGAGGACUGUGAUAGGCAAAGUCCUCUGCGUUGUACUAGGCCAGAAACGCAGAAUCCUCAGGAGUCUCUGUGGAGCCACGGCCCAAGAGCUGAACACAGGUGUCAACCCAGCUGAAGGAGUCCUGAAGAGCCAGUGACUGAUCUGGAUAGUAUCUGUCACCUGUGACCAGGGUCUUGGAGUGAGGGGAAGAGAGGCACAACAACACAGGCAGCCAUGUCCCACACCAUUUUGGAACGGCCACUUUCCUUGGGGCUGUGACAGUCUAGAGGAGGAGACAGCUAUUGCCAAGGCACAGGGCCUUGCUUUAAGAUUUACCUGGCUGCUGGGAGUAAGAGGGGCAUAGGAGGCUGGCUAGGGAUCUACCGUGUCCUUUGAGGAGCAGCAAGCUUUGCAUCACUUCAAAGCCCUGAUGAAGGUGCGUGUUUGGUGCAGAAAUCUCGGAAGAAAUACAAGGAGACACAGAAUUCGGAUAAAAUAAUAAAAUUUCUUCUUGCAAGCGGGCAGGAAUGCCAGAAACAGAAAAGUCACCAAGUCAUUCUGCCCCAGCAUCUACACUCAAAAUGGAGAAAACUGCUACUUUACAAAAGGAACCACUCAGUAAAGCACAGUCUAAAAGCCACUGUCUGUGCCAUGAGGAUUCUAGUGGGCAGGAUGCAGCUUCAAAGCCACUGUUCUAUACCAUGGGGAGUCACUCUGGGCAGGGCACAGACUGCUCACCACAGGAGGCCAUGCACAGUUCACCCUCCUCUGAUCACCACGUGGACAAGCCCAGGCCAGCCUGCUGGAUGAUGAAGGAUUCAUGACCCAGCCAUCUUCGCCACUUCAAACAACAGGCAGAAGCAGAGUUCCUACCUGAUCUACAGCUGAGGUCGAGACCAUUGGAGUGGAGCUGGGCACAGUGUAGACUGAAGAAGUGACAAAGCAGGAAGGCCUGUGCAAAAACCUGAGACCAGAGCCAACCCGGUCAGGCCUGCCCCUCCCUGCCCCAAGUCCAG